rnacentral:rRNA from 1 species
UACGUAGGGCGCAAGCGUUGUCCGGAAUUAUUGGGCGUAAAGAGCUCGUAGGCGGCUUGUCACGUCGGGUGUGAAACCUCCAGGCUCAACCUGGAGACGCCACUCGAUACUGCUAUGGCUAGAGUCCGGUAGGGGACCACGGAAUUCCUGGUGUAGCGGUGAAAUGCGCAGGAUAAUCAGGAGGAACACCGGUGGCGAAGGCGGUGGUC